CUUCUUUGUCAAUUCCCCUGUCUCCUGAAUGUCUCAUUCUCAAACUAAUUUUGCUUGAAAUUGUGGCUGGAGAUGGUAUGUUUGAAACUUAAUAUGAUGAACAUAGAACAGGAAGAUUUCAACACCUUUUUAGCAAAAGAUGUUCACAUAAACCUGAAAUGAAUAUAGCCAAAGAGGACGUGGUCUUUCAGCACCUCCAGCUAAAAAAUGCUGCAGAGGAACUUCCUGUAUUAAGUACAGAUGGGGUUUCACCAUGUUCGCCAGGAUGGUCUCGAUCUCCUGACCUCGUGAUCUGUCCACCUCUGCCUCCCAAAGUGCUGAGAUUACAGGUGUGAGCCACCACUCCCAGCCUUUGUCAUCAUUUCAGAUAGGGUGAAGGAAUGGUUUAAGUCGCCUCCAAGGUAUCUUGUUGGGGGUGAGGGGUACAGAGGGGUCUUACUGAAUGGUGAUGAAAAAGGGGACACAAGCGAAAAAUCAACAUUGGAGAAAAGAUAACUAAACCCUGGGAAGCUUAAGGAACAAAGUGUAACAAAACAACAUGGAUUGUUUUAUAAAAUACUUUGAGAUAUCCA
rnacentral:lncRNA from 1 species